GACGAACGCUGGUGGCGUGCUUAACACAUGCAAGUCGAACGGUAAGGCCCUUCGGGGUACACGAGUGGCGAACGGGUGAGUAACACGUGGGAGAUCUGCCCUGCACUUCGGGAUAAGCCUGGGAAACUGGGUCUAAUACCGGAUAGGACCACUGCCUGCAUGGGUGGUGGUGGAAAGCUUUUGCGGUGUGGGAUGGGCCCGCGGCCUAUCAGCUUGUUGGUGGGGUGAUGGCCUACCAAGGCGACGACGGGUAGCCGGCCUGAGAGGGUGACCGGCCACACUGGGACUGAGAUACGGCCCAGACUCCUACGGGAGGCAGCAGUGGGGAAUAUUGCACAAUGGGCGCAAGCCUGAUGCAGCGACGCCGCGUGAGGGAUGACGGCCUUCGGGUUGUAAACCUCUUUCAGCACCGACGAAGCGCAAGUGACGGUAGGUGCAGAAGAAGGACCGGCCAACUACGUGCCAGCAGCCGCGGUAA
rnacentral:rRNA from 1 species